CGUGAGUGAUGAAGGCUUUCGGGUCGUAAAGCUCUGUCAAGUGGGAAGAAACCAUAUGGUAUUAAUACCACCAUAUGUUGACGGUACCAUUGAAGGAAGCACCGGCUAACUCCGUGCCAGCAGCCGCGGUAAUACGGGGGGUGCGAGCGUUAUUCGGAUUUACUGGGCGUAAAGAGCGCGUAGGCGGUCUUUUAAGUCAGGUGUGAAAGCCCGGGGCUCAACCCCGGAAGUGCACUUGAAACUAAGAGACUUGAGUAUGGGAGAGGGAAGUGGAAUUCCUGGUGUAGCGGUGAAAUGCGUAGAUAUCAGGAGGAACAUCGGUGGCGAAGGCGACUUCCUGGACCAAUACUGACGCUGAGGCGCGAAGGCGUGGGGAGCAAACAGGAUUAGAUACCCUGGUAGUCCACGCAGUAAACGGUGAACACUAGGUGUAGCGGGUAUUGACCCCUGCUGUGCCGCAGCAAACGCAUUAA
rnacentral:rRNA from 1 species